UAAUACGAAGGGGGCUAGCGUUGUUCGGAAUUACUGGGCGUAAAGCGUAUGCAGGCGGAUCGUUAAGUCGGGGGUGAAAUCCCGAGGCUCAACCUCGGAACUGCCUUCGAUACUGGCGAUCUUCGAGUCCGGGAGAGGUGAGUGGAACUCCGAGUGUAGAGGUGAAAUUCGUAGAUAUUCGGAAGAACACCAGUGGCGAAGGCGGCUCACUGGCCCGGUACUGACGCUGAGAUACGAAAGCGUGGGGAGCAAACAGGAUUAGAUACCCUGGUAGUCCACGCCGUAAACGAUGGGUGCUAGCCGUUGGGCAGCAUGCUGUUCGGUGGCGCAGCUAACGCAUUAAGCACCCCGCCUGGGGAGUACGAUCGCAAGAUUA
rnacentral:rRNA from 1 species